UCCUACGGGAGGCAGCAGUGGGGAAUUUUGCACAAUGAGCGCAAGCUUGAUGCAGCGACGCCGCGUGGAGGAUGACGGUCUUCGGAUUGUAAACUCCUGUUAAGUGGGAAGAAAGACGUACUGUUAAUACCAGUACGGGAUGACGGUACCACUAGAGAAAGCUCCGGCUAACUUCGUGCCAGCAGCCGCGGUAAUACGAAGGGAGCAAGCGUUAUUCGGAAUAACUGGGCGUAAAGGGCGCGUAGGCGGUUUAUUAAGUCAGUUGUUAAAUCCCAUGGCUUACCCAUGGACCAGCAAUUGAUACUGAUAGACUAAGAGGAUAAGAGAGAGAAGUGGAAUUCUCGGAGUAGCGGUAAAAUGCGUAGAUCUCGAGAGGAACACCGAUUGCGAAGGCAGCUUCUUGGCUUAUACCUGACGCUGAGGCGCGAAAGCGUGGGGAGCAAACAGGAUUAGAUACCCCGGU
rnacentral:rRNA from 1 species